CCUGGCUCAGAUUGAACGCUGGCGGAAUGCUUUACACAUGCAAGUCGAACGGCAGCACGGGUGCUUGCACCUGGUGGCGAGUGGCGAACGGGUGAGUAAUGCGUCGGAACGUACCGAGUAAUGGGGGAUAACGCGGCGAAAGUCGCGCUAAUACCGCAUACGCCCUGAGGGGGAAAGUGGGGGAUCGCAAGACCUCACGUUAUUCGAGCGCCCGACGUCUGAUUAGCUAGUUGGUGGGGUAAUGGCUCACCAAGGCGACGAUCAGUAGCGGGUCUGAGAGGAUGAUCCGUCACACUGGGACUGAGACACGGCCCAGACUCCUACGGGAGGCAGCAGUGGGGAAUUUUGGACAAUGGGCGAAAGCCUGAUCCAGCCAUUCCGCGUGAGUGAAGAAGGCCUUCGGGUUGUAAAGCUCUUUCAGCUGGAACGAAACGGUACGCGCUAACAUCGUGUGCUAAUGACGGUACCAGCAGAAGAAGCACCGGCUAACUACGUGCCAGCAGCCGCGGUAAUACGUAGGGUGCGAGCGUUAAUCGGAAUUACUGGGCGUAAAGCGUGCGCAGGCGGAUUAUUAAGCAAGACGUGAAAUCCCCGGGCUUAACCUGGGAAUGGCGUUUUGAACUGGUAGUCUAGAGUGCGUCAGAGGGGGGUGGAAUUCCACGUGUAGCAGUGAAAUGCGUAGAGAUGUGGAGGAACACCAAUGGCGAAGGCAGCCCCCUGGGAUGACACUGACGCUCAUGUACGAAAGCGUGGGUAGCAAACAGGAUUAGAUACCCUGGUAGUCCACGCCCUAAACGAUGUCAACUGGUUGUUGGGGGAGUGAAAUCCCUUAGUAACGAAGCUAACGCGUGAAGUUGACCGCCUGGGGAGUACGGUCGCAAGAUUAAAACUCAAAGGAAUUGACGGGGACCCGCACAAGCGGUGGAUGAUGUGGAU
rnacentral:rRNA from 1 species